rnacentral:rRNA from 1 species
AUUGAACGCUGGCGGCAUGCCUUACACAUGCAAGUCGAACGGUAACAGGUCUUCGGAUGCUGACGAGUGGCGAACGGGUGAGUAAUACAUCGGAACGUGCCUAGUAGUGGGGGAUAACUACUCGAAAGAGUGGCUAAUACCGCAUGAGAUCUACGGAUGAAAGCAGGGGAUCGCAAGACCUGGUGCUACUAGAGCGGCCGAUGGCAGAUUAGGUAGUUGGUGGGAUAAAAGCUUACCAAGCCGACGAUCUGUAGCUGGUCUGAGAGGACGAUCAGCCACACUGGGACUGAGACACGGCCCAGACUCCUACGGGAGGCAGCAGUGGGGAAUUUUGAACAAUGGGCGCAAGCCUGAUCCAGCAAUGCCGCGUGCAGGAUGAAGGCCUUCGGGUUGUAAACUGCUUUUGUACGGAACGAAAAGCCCUGGGUUAAUACCCUGGGGUCAUGACGGUACCGUAAGAAUAAGCACCGGCUAACUACGUGCCAGCAGCCGCGGUAA